rnacentral:rRNA from 1 species
UAGUGGCGGACGGGUGAGUAACGCGUGAGAAUCUGCCUUCUGGUCGGGGACAACCAUUGGAAACGAUGGCUAAUACCGGAUGAGCCUACGGGUAAAAGAUUUAUUGCCAGAAGAGGAGCUCGCGUCUGAUUAGCUAGUUGGUGGGGUAAAAGCUCACCAAGGCAUCGAUCAGUAGCUGGUCUGAGGGGAUGACCAGCCACACUGGGACUGAGACACGGCCCAG